rnacentral:rRNA from 1 species
UACGUAGGGGGCAAGCGUUGUCCGGAUUUAUUGGGCGUAAAGAGCGUGUAGGCGGCCUGGAAGGUCAGCUGUGAAAACUCGAGGCUCAACCUCGAGACGUCGGUUGAAACCACUUGGCUAGAGUCCGGAAGAGGAGUGUGGAAUUCCCGGUGUAGCGGUGAAAUGCGCAGAUAUCGGGAAGAACACCCGUGGCGAAGGCGGCACUCUGGGACGGUACUGACGCUGAGACGCGAAAAGCGUGGGGAGCGAACAGG